rnacentral:lncRNA from 1 species
AAUUUUUGACGGCCUAUAUGAGCCGUUUGUUUGUUUAAUGGUGUAGAACAAUCCAAAUUGCUUGAAUUUUUGAUAGAAAAUUUUUUAUACUAUUUAGAUAAUGUUUGAUAACUCUUAUUAUAAAUUGAGAAAGUCUCACCUGUAUUUUAAGAAGGUUAUUCAUUUAUGACUGUUCAUUUUUUAACUCUUAAGAUGAACUUGAUAAUGAUUUUUAAAUAUUACAAAAUUUGGUUUCCAAACAUUUCUAAUUGUGUAAAUCAAUUUCAACGGUGCCGAUUAUCAAUUUGAAAUUCCGAUCAAUCAAAACGACUUGAUAGGACAAUGGCUCCAAUCCUAUUAAUAGGAUAAUAGCCGGACUCUAUAUAUAUAU